AAAUAUUUCAAUUGCGACUCCACGUUACCAAAUAUCUCCCGCAUGGCCCAUGCGUUCGCCCUCACUUCCUCUCCAUUUGGCUCUACCAUGACCCACCUUAUCGUCUCGGCUACCGAGUCACUCGUGAACGACCCGUCCCGGCCGUCCCUUGGCACUUCCGACCCGACCCGCCUCUCGUCCAUUAGCCUUGCCAUCAGCCCUUGGUCGGAGGCCUUGCCCGAGUGCCUCUAUGACAGAGCUCCACCCGCAGUGCGUCAAGAACCCGCCGAUCGAUGGGUGGGCCAGGAUGUCGAGCUGAGGAACCCAGCCCACCCAGACGAGGCCUCGACCCGAGACCCGGCUUUCGAACCCAGAAGGGAUACUGCUGCUGGGGCCUGCCUUUCGGCUAUCACCCAGACGAAGGGCAAACCUGACUUUUCAAUCCCACAUGCCAACUCGUGCAUGAACUCUUGACUCAAAGCCACCUCGGUGCCGAGGGCGACAUAGAACACUGACUUCUCUUCCUUAUCAUCCAACCAUUGCUUGAGCUCGCCCCAUCUCCCGUCUCCUUCGUGGCGGCUUUUAUUCUGGGGCGGCAAAAGCCCCACCGGAACCACGGGUCUCGUGUAAAACUUCUUGAGUAGACUCAACGGCUUGGCCUCGAACUCGCUACAGGUCCUUAUGGCCACGAUAUCGCAGCCCUGUAUUGACCUGCCUAACCUUUCGAAAACUGACAUGUUAGAGUUAGAGUCCACGAAAUCCUCUUCGUUCAUCACCUCAUGAAGCCUGAACGCGACUUUAGUUGGGUAAGUAACCCACUGGGGAACGACCGUCAAGUCCUCUGCCGUCUUGGCUCGGGCCUGACCGUCAAUCAGAAGAGAUGGCGGGCCAAUGAAGGCGAGGCUGGUAGCGCUGAAUAUGCUGAAGAACGCCGAUUUAACACCGAGUUGUCUCGCCUUUUGGGGUAACCAGAAAGACAUGACGUCUUGGAUCACCCAGUUGACGUCCGAGUUCACAAGGAACUCGGCAACAGCUGGCUCGAGCAUGUCGUAUGCCUUCUUAAGGUAAGGGAACAUGUUAUGCGGCAGCUCGGAGGUCGACUCGGCAGAGUCGGGGAGGCCAUGGACCCGAGGCAAGGGAAGCUCAACGAGGGUUAUCGAGGGAGGGAGGUUCUGGGGGAGGUUCUGGAGGUUUUUCAAGGUGGAGAUGAAGGAGAUGCGAUGACCCUUUCGAGCUAAGAAGGUGGCGACCUCGAGGAAGGGCAUGAGGUGGCCGUAAGCGAGCCAUGGGAACAUCGCAACGUGGAGCUUCUCUUUUUCCAUGGUGGUUUGUGGAAGGAAGUCGAAGUGGAGAGAGAAAUUUUAAAAGAGAAACCAGCUGGCGAUGGAACGCGCACGUGCCUCUAAUCGGCGCACGUGCCGGGAGAGAAUGAGAUUAGUCUCCUUCGCUACACGUGCGAUUUUUUUUGCAAGGAAAUGGCAUUGUAACGUAAGAGCGAAUGUUUGUUAUACGCAAAAGAAGAAAGCAAAAGUCUUAGGCUCCCAUUUAUUUAGCCGAAAACUAAUUCUAAAAAAAUAUUUUCUAGAUUUUUUGAUAUUCAUUCCACGGAAAAUGAAUUGAUCAGGAAAAAUAUUUUCUAUUAAUGAAAAAAAGAUUUAUAAGAUAGGAAAAACAUUUUCCACUUUUCGAGUAGGGAAAACAUUUUCAAUCGGAAAACAUUUUCCACACUCACUCUCUCUUAUCUCACACUUCUGCUGGCUCCCUCUUCUUUCUUUGUUUUUUUUUUUCCCUUCUGUUUCAACCUGUUGCCGAACACUAUGACCGUCAGCAACCAACCAUAGGCUAGCUUGAGCUGGUUGCUUGCCAGAUUAGAGAGCGUGAGCCUCUGGUGAGGCUUGAGUACUCAAGCUCACCUUUGGCCGAUCAUCGAGUGUCAGCAUGGUUGGCAACUAACUGAAGGGGUUGGCGAUUGGUCCAAGAAGAAGGAGGUAAAGAAAAAAUAAAAGGAAAAAAAAUAAGUUAAGAAAAUUAAAAUUUUGAUUUUUCUUUCUAAAAUAAAGAAAAUUAUCUAAAGGAAUACACGGAGGAAAAUCAAAUCAAAUUUUUCAUACCAAGUAGUGAAAAAUAUUUUCCUAGUUCAUUUUCAAGUUUCAACCGAAUAUUAGAAAAUAUUGUCAUUUUUCUGAAAAAUGACUUCCAAAAAAAUAAUUUCCAAAAAUACUAUAUUUUUAAUAAAACGAACGGAGUUUAAGUCUUGAGUGACCGUAAAAAAUGGCUCAUUUCAUGAUAACUUGAAUGUCUUAAAAAUAAGAACUCACCUCCCUAGGAAAAUCGAUUGAUGUACUAACACAAGUAGUUCGAGAAUGCCUUGGUCUUUAGAUAUUUGAGUCGAACGGUUUCCACAUUUGUGCCUUUUCAAUAACAACUAUCCAUUUAGAAAUCGCCUCGAUGGAAGGCAGUUAAGGGCACAACAAGGUCUACGUCAAACCUUAUGUUUGGAAAAUAUACCAUAAAUACAUGAUGGGAUUGUGUUAGUAGAGUGUGCCCAUAAUAGCCAUUGAACCUCCGCGCGUUUCUAUUGCAUGCAAACUUGAAUAAUGGGUGGGGGUUAGAUUUAUUUUACGUCAUGUUUUCCACACACGAUUCUAAUUCAUACUUGAAUCCUGUUCUUCAAUGCAUGAUUAGAUUAGUUUGUUUUUGUCAUACACGGCCCAUAUCUAAUUGAUAGGACCCGGUGUUGCCCCUUAAUGGCAAUAAUAAUCGAGGAUGGCGUCUCAAAUGAGUUUGGCCCCAUUCUAGGACCACAAGUUCAAUGACUCAAGGCUCUGCCCCUUUCAAGUGCCCGAGUGUGCUCAUCCACAUACUCGAAUUGCAACUUCAUGUUGCCAAGUAUCUCCCUCACGGCCCAUGCACUCGUCCUCGGCUCCUCUGACCCCCCUAAUCGUACCGGCUACCAAGUCACUAGUGAGUGGCCCCUCUCAUUCAUCCAUUAGCACCUCUUAUUCGACCCGCAUCUCAUCCAUCAGUCUCGCCAUCAACCGUUGGUCUGAGCUCCCAUAGUAAACAAGAUCGGCGCCUGGCCCUCCCUGGGUGCCUCUACAACCAAGCUCCAACGCGACGAUGCGCCAAGAACCCGCUGAUCGACACCCAGACUUCCGGACCCAAAAGAGAUCAUGCCGGAGCAAGCCUUCUGCCCUACUCACCUGAACAGAGGGCAAACUUAAUUGCCCCAUUCCACUACCUGGCCAAGUUUGAGGAAACUGCGCAAUUGAUUUUUCAUUAAAAUCAGGACAUAAUCAGUCCCUUAUCAUCUUGGCAAGAAAGAACAUCAAGUUUUAGCUUGAGAAGUGAUUGGGUAACGGUUUUUAAUCUACUGUGAAAAUAACAGUUUAUUCUGCACCACAAAAAAUCAAAAUUCAAAUAAUUUUAUUCUUACGGUAGCACAAAAAGUGUUGAGCUAGCCAAUCUCUUUUAGCUUUACUCAUCUCCAGGAUUAUACAUAGUAAUUGAUCCAUAAUAUGCUAAGAGUGUGAGGGAGUCAGUAACACUAAAAUUGAAUUUCUUAUUUUCACGGCUUUACUUUUUUAUUGAUAGCAAGUCAUGGCAUAAGUGACUUCUUACUUUUCGUCUUUUAGUUUUUAGGGCUUUGUUAAUAUAACAAUUUUUGGUUAUUGUAAGAAUAAUAGUUAGUUAUGAGCCACAAAUUUUUAAAGGAGUGGGCUCCAUAUCAAUUUAUUAUUUAUUAUUUGAUUUUUUAAUCUAAAAUAGAUUGUUUUUCUCAAAGUAAAUUAAAGACUACCACUCGAUCAUUUUUCUAAUUUUGACUAAAAACUAGUAUUUUGAACCGUCCGAAGGGCUAUUCCACGAUUUGUCUUAUAGUUUUUUAGCGCUAACCAACUAGAGGGAAAUACACAAAACUUUAUAGGAUGAAUGUAUAAAUGGAUAACCAUAGUGAAAUAUCUACUUAUUGUACGAAGUCAUUUAUUUAAUUUCAAACCACACGAUUAUCUUGUCUUUUCCGUACGCGGGGGAACGCACACGGCCCCAUAUCCCAUGUGCUCCCAACUAAGCUAACAUGAUCUGAGGAGGGAGCUUCUCCAGAUAGAAGGUGGCGACAUCGAGGAAGGGCAUGAGGUGGCCGUAAGCAAGCCAUGGGAACAUCGGUACGUGAAGCUUCUUCUCUUCGUUUUCCAUGGCAGUGGCUGUGAACACUACUUUUUCAUUUGACGUGUGUGGUGGUGAUGUGACUAGCGAGUGAAUUCGAAUGCAAUGGAGAAUGAGCUCUCUCUUCAUAUAUAUAUAUAUAUAUAAAAGAACUACGUAUGGUGCUUUAAAAUUCUAAUUAAUAUUGGCAUAAAUUAACUUGCGUUUAGAUGUUUAUAACUUAUUACAUGAGACUAAAGACUCCAUUCGUUUUGUGAAAAAGGUUUUUCUGAAAAACAUUUUCUGGAUUUUUCGGUAUUUGUUUCAUGGAAAAAAAACUAUAUACAUAAUCCAACAUGCCAAUAUUUGAAUUUUUUUUUUAAGGCAAGAAAGGAGUUGAAUUAAUAACGAUAUGUGAUUUAUGCAAUAUUAGUAAAGUCAAAAGUAGAGGUGGCUGCAGCCAAGGUAGCUAAUAAUUAUCUUUGAGAUUUCAUAUCUUCUCUUCAUGUGCAUUGACUUAGAUGAUUCAAGGGAGAGAAGUAACUUCUUAUUCUGUUAAACUUUUGAUGUACCAAAACAAAUAUCACACGAGAUAAACUAUCAAGAAACAAUUUAUGACCAGCUGAAAAGAUUUAGGUACUUUACUUUCCAAUUGAGGAGGGAAUAUCAUUAAUAUAAAUUGAGUGUUAUAUUUCUGUUUAGAUAAACUAUCUAAGUCAAAUAGAGUGAAUUUAGAGUUUUUUCAUUCCUAAGCAUUUGGAUUUUAUGAAUGAAUGGUGGAUAUAACUAAUAUUAUAUAGUGCAUAAAUUUGUAUAAUUUUGUUAAAAAAUUUUAGGCCCUGUUUGAUAAUCGGCCAAGCAGUGACUAUUUCUAUUCUUUUGUUACUCUGAACAAAAAAGAAACAAAAAUUUGUUUGUUAAUGUCAGUUAAUUUUUUUGUUCUUCGGAAUAAAUUUAGAAUAGAAUCAAGAAAAAAAAAGUUGCUUCUUUAUUCUUAGAUACAAUUCGAGAAUCAAGUAAUUUUCUUUAUUUUCUUCCAUUUCUUUUAUUCUUUUCUUUUUCUUAUUCCUCCUCCGCAACGCGGUGGUCGGGCUCCCUUGAGGCUAGCGAGGUAAUUGAUUCUAGUUUGGCUGGAGAUAAGCUAAAGGAAGAAGAAGAGGAGGAAAAAAAGAAAAGAAAAAAAUUGAGAAAAUAUAAUAAAAUUAUUAAAAAAAUUAAAAAAAUUCUAGGUUACAAAAAAAUUGAGAAUUGUAUAAACGCAUUUUUAUUUCGAAAAUAAAAAUUUAUAAUUACUAAAGAAUUUCAAAUACUCAAAAAACUUAUCCUGGAAAUAGAAUAAAAAAAAUUUUGAGUAGAAAUUAUCCUCAUAAAUAGAAUAAUUACUAAAUAGGUCUUUAGUGGAACUUGAGGUGAAUCCGAUGAAUUUUGGAAAAAUUAAUUUACUUGAUCUAAUAAAGAAGCUCUAAUUUGAGGGCAGCGACGCGAGCUUGUUUAGCAACACGCAUUUGUUCAGUGUUAUCAGCCAUUGUUGCCCUAGAACGAGUACGGAUUGGCAAUCUUGGGUGAGCCAUGUUGUUACCUAUCAAUGUAAAAAAAUACAGUAAGCAUGAUAACAAAUGAGAUUGAUCCAUGACAACGGUCACUCGUUUAUUUUAUUAAGUGAAAUCAAAUUCCAAAGACAUCAACUUAAAACGUUAAAAUAACUCCCUAGGAAAUUAAAUUCCUAAAACAUCAAUCUAAGAAAUUGAAAUAACACCUUAAAGCCAGAACUAAACUCCUAAAUCUAGCGACUCUUUUCCAUAUACAAUUGGGAGAUCACAGUAGUUUGAAGCUUCUUGUUCUGCCAAACCAACUUUGAGAUUCGAGCCUCCUUCCUUUCCACCGUUUCUUCAAGACGUUCAAUUUGUGCUUUACGAGUGGGCUUCAUGGUCACUUCAGGUAUCACGGGAAGUAGAGCUUGAGGGAUCUCAUGAUGGUGGAUAUAAUAAUCCGAGGCAUGAAAAACCCUCUCUUUUCCUUUCAAUCUUCUAGGCACCACUAUUUUUUCCGGAUGGCAUUCCUUCCAUGCAUUUUCAAGACGCUCGAUCUCAUUGAGGUAUUUGUGAUCCUUGCGCACGAAGCGGGCUUGAAACAGAUCCACUCGGAGAGGAGGUGGGAUAUCUUGGAGUACUCGAUACUGGCGGGCCGCUCUAUAAGGAUAGAAAGAUGUUACACCAAUAAUUCCCAUAAGUGGAAUUGGAUUAUCUGUCUUGCAAGAGAAACGAGCCACGCUAACAUGGAACCAUUUAGCAUACCAUAGGAAGCUCAUGAGAUCUGGAUCUUUAAGAAAAGUCACCCAAUAGAAAAAUGAUUUUCUAGUAUACUUUUUCUCUAAGAUUGAAAAUCUCUUUAUUGGGUAACUAGAAUCAUCAAUUUCACCUCGAUGCAUGUGUCGCAACCUCUUUUUUUUCGGCGUCUGCAAUCGGGUACGGGCGCCUAAGGAGGCUAAUGGCUCGGCUGAAAUUAAUUAUGCCCGGACUCUCCCAAGUCCACCAAUUCACGACUUUAAUAGUUUGAGUUUUUAACCUGUAAAUCAAAUUUUAAAUUGGAGUCGCCACUAAUCGAUUUGGGGUGGGUUGAUUAGAAACCCAAGUGAAGUAUCGGGAGAAAUACUCACUCCUGCGCAACCAGAGAAAUUAGGAUCGGGGACUUGAUUACACUAGUUAAUCACUAAUGCCAUUUCGGUACCUAAUCUUGUUUAAAUCCUGAGGUUUUUUGGAUGUUCGAGGGGUUUUCCAUGCAUUUUUGGGAGGAAAAACAUUUUUUGAGUCAUUUUCUAAUUUUUUGGACACAAAAGGGAUUUUUUGGGGUUUUUUGGUAUUUUUUUUGGAAAAAUACAAGUCUUUUUGGUUUUUUCUGAAUUUUUUGGCUUUUUCAUGAAUUUUUGGCUUUUUUUUGGAUUUUUGGCAUUUUUUGGAAAAUAUGAAAUAUUUUUGAUAUUUUUGAUUUUUCGAAAAAUAAAUAUUUUUAAUAUAUUUUUUCGAUUUUUUUUUGGAAAUUAAAACAUUUUUCGGUUUUCUAGAAAUUAAAAUAUUUUUAAUAUUUUUUUAUAAAUAAAUUAUUUUUGAUUUUUUCUUUUUUAUUAAAAUAUUACAUAAUAUAAUAUAAAAAAAGCCAACCCGGUUUGGAUCCGCUGCUUGGGUCCGACCUGGGUCGGCCCAAAACGCAGACGGGCCUGCUACGCGGGCCUGACUUUUUUUUUUUUUUUUCAAAAACGACGUCGUGGCCGGGCGUUUGGGGACGCUCGGCCCGGCCCGACGACCUGGAUCCAUUGACCCGCUCUGCGACCCGGCUACCUGCGAACCCUACCCGACCCAGAUCCGAAUCGUGACCCGACUCCCGCCGCCCCUCGAAUCUCGCGAAACCCUACCCGGUUCCGAGACCCGGAUCCGACUCGGCGACCCGGAAAAAUCGCAAACCCUAGGGUUUGCGAAUCCGUGGCGCCGAGGGGGGGAACCGAGGUGCUUGGCGGCGACGGCGACUACGGCGGUGACGACGAAGACGAUGGGAACCACGACGACAGCGACGCCGACAGAAUGGGGGUGCGAUGGGCGGCAGGGACGGCAGCAACGGUUUUUACCUUUUCUCGAACGGAGGCGAUGACGGCGACGACAGGAGUUGAUCUGCGAUGGUGGCGGCCGCGGCGAGGGCAGACUGAUGGCGGCGACCGUGGCGGAUGACGACGGCGUCAGCGAGGCUUGGGCUCCGUCGAUUUGAUUGGGGCUCUCUCUCUCGGGCUCGGGCUCGCUCUUUGAGCUUUGGAGGAGAGGCAGCUCGAGGGGGACAGUAGCAGCAGAUGGCGUUGGGAUCUCAGUCGGGGCGAACAGCGGUGGCAUAGCGUCCGGCAGCAACAGCAACAGCUAAAAAAGACUAGAUCUGAGGCGCAGAUCUCGCGAAACCCUACCCUCGGCCUCAAUCUUCUCUCACUCAGGCCAGAUCCGAGCCUCCACCAGCCGGAUCUGACCUUCUCGAGGUCGCUUGCCGCCUGCCUUCCCCGAAGUCUCUCGGUGGAAGGUGGGCUGAGCUCGCGACUCGAGCUCUCUCCUGCGCUUGCCCUUCAACCCUUCCCGAUGUCUCUCAGUGAAGGAUCUCCGAGCUCGCCACGCCCUCCGACGAUGCUUGCGGCCACCUAUUUAUAGGCGAAGGAACUCCGGUCGACGGAGGGGCUCGGUCGCUGGCCUCCGGCUUGCCCACCGGUUCCGCUUGGCUGAACCGGUGUCCCAUCGAGCUUUCCAGCGAAGCUCGCUCACCAUUAAUGGCGCCUGCGAUCUUAUCCCCUCCGGCCAACGUCGGCCUACACUCCUCGGCCGUAGGCCGUCCUUCGCGUGUUGGCCUCCCUCGCGCGCGUGAGUUGCAGCGGCGAAGGAAAGGGAAGGAGGAAGAAGAAGAGAGAAAGGGGCCGGGCCGGGGGGUGAAGGAAAAUGGGCCGUAGGGGCCACGCGGAGGGAGAAGAGAAGGAGAAAAAGAUGGGCUGGGCUUUUGCUUUGCUUUUGUUUUGUUUAUUAUUAUUUACUAUCUGAAAAAGACAAAUAAAUGUAAAAAAAAAAAAACCUAAUUAAUUAAAAAUGAAAUUUAGGUGUCAACAGCAUGAAAUGACCAAACUCCUUCAUGUGAGAAAGAAACCAAAUUUGUAAAAGUUUAGGAGAGGCAUUCAUGAUUUUUUCUCCAUUUUGUUUAAAACGGUUGAUGGACAAAAAUGUCUCAGCCAAAAUCAUGUUUAUAAAGUUCAUGCCAGCGCAUGCUUGUCUGACCACCCGUGCAAUUGAAGGAUUAAUGGCAUUUUGUCGAUGAGGAAAGAUUAUAAAUCCAAAGAAUGCUAAGAUGAAUAUCCUACCCUUUGGCGCAUUGAAGAUUGAUUUAAAAAAUGAUCAGCCAAAAAGGAGAAUGGGCAUGCGUUACAAUUAGCUUUCAAAACUUUCUUAACCUCAUCAGUUUUAAUUCUUAGAAAUUGAGAUAAAAUCGAUGUGCGCUCCAUACCAAGAGGUGGCCUAACAAGUUCAGUCUCAAUGGGCAUUCCUAUGAUAACGCUAUACUCUUCCAGUGUUGGAGUUAGCUCAUUUUUACCAAAAAUAAAUGUAGCCGUCUCGAGACACCAAAAGUGUGAUAUAGUUUGCAAAACACCACUAUGGACUCCAAUAUCCAAAAGGGGGAUGAGCCGUCCCAGUAUCGACUCCACAUAAUCCUGACCUUCUUUACUUAAUUUGCCCUCUGAGCUCAAUCUUGGGAGUUGUAAUGAAUUGAACAUUGGAUCUCCCCAUUGUAUAUAGAUUAAAACUCACGAUCGACCUUUUGUCAUGGACCAAAAGAAAGUGCAAUAAAGUAAAUAAAUUGCAUAUUAUAAGGUAAGAAUACUUACUUCACAAAAAAAAAAAAAAUGGCAACCACAUUGACAGGCGCAUGAGAUGUGAGGCUUAACACCUAAACUACAAGGCUUAGCAAGUUAGAGCUAAGAGGAUGGGCCGACUAGUCACAGUCUUGAGUAUAAAUGUCAGGUCCUCUUAACUAUGGCUCAGUCAAAAGAAAAUCCCAUGGUCGCAUAGUUUUGCGAACAAGGAUAAACGUUUUGACACCAAGAAAAAUUUUCGGGGUUGAGAAAGGUAACCUUUACAUUGCGGUCUCGCGUUCAAGGUUGAUUCAUUUCUCAACACCAUCCUAGAAUCCUUAAAUGCGGUCCAGGUCCGACGGCAGGUUGUGUGUGCAAUGUGUAGUGCUAAAACAAUUUGAAAAUCAUAAACAACAAUUUAUAAUGCAAGCAACACUUCAAUAUAUAAGAAAAACAUUCAAUCCCAACACCUUCCUACAAAACAAAGAGUCAACAAGCACUGCUCCCCUUAUACCUCAUUUCUGUAAAAAUAUUUAACACUUUAUGUUAGGAGCGUACCUUGUUUCCAUGCUGUCAAACAAAAUAUUUAAAAAAAAAGAAAAAAAAGAAACAGGCCUAUGUCCACUAUGAGUUUUAACUCUCCUUAGUGGAGUCGUCAAGCUGUCACGACGUCCUCAAGGGUGAAUUACUUAAAGAAAGCUAAUGGAUUACUAAGUCUGAAGAUUUGGCGCGGACCCUCCUAAGUCCUACCAAUCGCAACUUGAUACUAAUGAAUUAACCCAUUUAAUCAUGCAAUUAUACUCAAUUUGGAGCCGCCACUAACCAAUUAGGUUUGGUUAGAAACCCAAGUAAAAUAUGGGAGAAUAUUUUACUUUUACGAACCAGAGAUUCAAUAGGUCUAAGGACAUGGUUACGCCAAAAAAAUCUAACGCCCUUUCGGUACCUUGUCAUUUUCAUUUCAAAAAUAUUUUGCAGGCAGUCUUGAUUAAUUUUAACCUAAGCUACUAACAUGCUAAGGAUGGUCAUGCAGGUGCACAAUUAAUGAAAUAACAUUCAAUAAACCGAAGUGAUAAAUUGUAAGAAAUUAUAAACUACAACUUGAUUAAGGUCCACUCUCUAAAGAAAAACUUACAAAAAUGCUAAUCAAAAUACAUGCCCUAAACAUGAUAUCUAAUUUUUUAUUUUUCUCCUUUUUUUAAUAUUAUUAAAUGUAAACUUAAUUUAGAUUUGACAUGCAUGAAUUUUACUUUAAUGAUAUGUGAGAUGCAAUUCAUGUGUCAUAACUUGAACUAUCACUAUAUGUAUGCAAUCUAAUUUACAUAACCCUAAAUAUGCAUGUGCUAUAUGAUAUGGGAUGUAUGACGUGGUAAUUCCAUAUGCAUGUUCUUUUUAUGAUUUUUUAAUGAUUUUUUUUAUUACACAUAUGCAACCUGCACUAACAAUGAUGAUAUGAAAUGGGAUUAAUUAUAAACUAACCUAUUAACUAAACAAAUAAAUGACUUUUGUAUUUUCUUUUUGACAAUAUAAUGAUGCAAUACCAAUCUUUGGCCUUUUUUUUUAUUAUUAAAAACAACUACACACGGGAAUAUUAAAACAUUAGCCUAUGACCCACUAACUAAAGCGCAACGUGUGGUGUGCACAUUAUGAAAUCUAUAUAACCUAAAUAACAUUUUUUAUUUUUUAUUUUUGUUUUGAUUUUAUUAAAGGAAAAUUAUCCUAAUUCUAUAUGAAUCUUAAAAAUUAAAAUGCGUUGCUUUAAACAUGAGAUAUGUGUGGACUUAAAUACCUAAGUUCUAUAAUUCAUGAUAUAUGAUGAGCAAAUAACGAUGACAUGCCAAAAUAAAAAGAAAAAAAAUCCAUCCAUGUAAAUCAAUGGCAUAUUAUUUUAAUAUGAAUCAAUGAUGCAAAGCAAUUCAUGAAUUUUGCCAUAAAAAGUCGAAAUAAUAAAAAAUCUAACCUGACGUCUCGCGGCUCAAUAUUUUUGAUUAUCAUGACUUAAUAUGACCAAUUUCCUAAAUCGGGUAAUGAUAAUAAAUCAAAACAAAUCAAGUUAGAAUAAAAAGAAAACUAUGAGUCCAAAUACUCAAAAUAAACUUAAUCUAAAAAUCUACCUAGUCUACCUCACGAUUAACUUGAGGAAUGUCGAAGAAACAGUGGUGGCCGAGCUGCGAUGGUGGUUCGGUAAUGGGUCGCCGCUCGAAACAGGGGUUGUUCAUCAGAACUCCGGCGAGGCUCGGGUGAUAACUGGACUUGCAACAAAAACAGGGGAGGCAGCAGGUGGCUCUAUUCGGGUGUGCAGCAGCGAGCAGAGGAGCAGCAACGUCAGGCGCAAGGCUGUGGCGUGAGCGGAGCGGGUUGCAGCUCGGCGAAGCUUCAGGUCGGCGUCGGGACUCCGGUGAAGGCAAGCGGUGGCACGGCGAGCGUCGGUGGAUGGCGAGUGGAGCGGUGAGGUGCGCUGCGGGCGUCGGGCGCGCAGUAGCUCGGACCACCAGCGAUGGGCGUCGCGGGCAGAGGAUUCCAGGUGCAGGCGUCGGCUGAGUGGAGACGGGCGUCGGUGCUCAAGCAGAGGCACCGAAUUCUGGUGUUGCUGUAGUCGGUCAAGUGGUGUUGCUUGGUUGCAGUGCUCAAAGGGGGGAAUCGCCUGGAUCGGCGUCGGGCCGUGGGCGUCGUCGGCGAAGGGCACGUCGGAGGCAGAGUAGCGCAGGAGGUCUGGGCGCUGCAACGGACGAACCAUCGAGGAAGAAGAACAAUUUUAUUCUUUCCUCCCCUUUUUUUUAAUUUUUCUAUCACCUGACACUCUCUCUCACCUGUCUCUUUCACUCUCUGUCGAACCCUCCCCCACUCUCACCUUUUUUGACUUUUCUCUCACAAAAACUCUAUCCCCUUGUGUGAAUACUUCGAAGACUCAUCCCAAAAGUCCCCCAUUAAACCUCACCAUAGUUUGCCAAAUUCUCUCACCAUGAAAACACACAAACACUUUUCGCUAAUUUCUUCAGCCCUCCCUUGGUUCCGAAACAUCACCUUCUUUUUUAUAGAGGAAAGACUCGAAGUUGUUGAAGAUUUCCCAAUAUUCACUCAACUUCUUCAACAAAAAAGUUGCUCCAAAAUCACAUGUGUUGAAUUUUUUUGAAUUCAAUUUUUUUUUUCAAGAUUUCCCUCUAUAAUUAAAGAUUAUCUUCUAUUUCUAAGAGAUGAGUUUACAUUAGGUGUCAACAAAUGACAGCCACAUUGGCUUUAAACAGGUCAUUACACAAGUACCAUUUUCCGACAUACAUCCCUCUUUUCGAAAGUACAAACUUGUCAGAUUCAAAUACAAUUUUGAAACCUUUCUUAACAAGUAUGGGGCCAGAGUUUAGGUUUUUCCGAAUCUCUAGUACAUGCAGCACAUUCAGCAGGGCAACCUCCUUACCAGAUGUAAACUUCAGGAUCACUUUUCCUCUUUUAACAAUCUUUGCUGAUGCAGAGUUAGCCAUAUAAAGCUUUUCAUCUUCUUCAGCCUUCUCAUAAGAUGAGAACAUGUGUUUAUCUGCACAGAUGUGAUUUGUGGCACAUGUGUCUAGCCACCGACCAUUAGUGUUCGACACUAGAGAUGCUUCAAAUAUUACCACAACAGACAAUCUCUCAAUAUUGUCAUGUUCUGUCAAAAUUUAGUUGCUGGGCUGCACCAUCGUUUUUGACUUUUUUUGGGCAGUUCUUGCAAUCCUUAGCACGAUGGCCAGGCUUGUUGCAUAUAAAACACGUCCCUUGAAAUUUCUGGAACUGUUCCUUCUGCUUGCCUUUUCUUUGAAAAAACAUCUUCAUUUUUCUAUCUUGCUUGGAUUUGGAAGAUUGCACAACGUUGGCCUUUAGCUCAGAAGAAGGGUUAGCACUCCUUCUAUUGUCCUCCUUGAUUCUAAGGCACAUAAUGAGAUCUUCAAGACUCAUCUCUUUCCGUUUGUGCUUCAAAUAAUUUUUGAAGUCUGAUCAACUCGAAGGCAGUUUCUCAAUCAUAGCCACCACUUGGAAUGAUUCACUAAGUAUCAUUCCCUCAGCAGAGAUGUCACUUAGAAUUAGUUGUAAUUCUUGAAUCUGACUCAUGACAGAUUUAGAAUCCACCAUCUUGUAGUCCAAGAAUUUGACAACCACAAAUUUCUUAGUGCCAGCAUCCUCAGUGUUGUAUUUCUUCUCUAAGGACUCCUAUAACUGUUUAGCAGAUUCAAUAUUACAAUAAACAUUAUAAAGAAAAUUCACUAAACAGUUAAGGAUGUAAUUUCGGCAUAAGAAAUCUCCAUGCUUCCAAGCCUCCAAUGCACCGAGCGUCAUGACAUCGUGCUCAUCUAGACUAAUUACAAGGCACACCUCCGAUAAAUACUUCGUCAGAUUUAGCAUAGUCAGAUAGAAGAACAUCUUCUGUUGCCAUUGUUUAAAGCCCACUCUGGUGAAUUUCUCCGGUUUCUCAUUAGUUGUAACUAGAGGUGUUGCCAUCACAGUAGGCAAAGUUUGUUGAACUAUCCCCUAUAAACGGAGCCAAAAGCCAUUUGGCUUGUACUAUUCUGAAAAAAAAGCCCCACGCAAACCAGUCGUAUGACUUGUACCCACACCACCAAAAUUGGUGUUGGCCUAAGGGCCCGUAGCAUUGGUUGCUACAAAUUCAAACCCUGAGGGUUGAACAUCUUCCAUAGAAAAGGUCGAAUCAACCAUAGGAAUGUCUCUUGAAACAUUCGGGACAUUGAAGGGCACAUAAUUGUUUUCAAUCAUCUCAAUAAUUUGACAAGAACAACAAACAAUGAGUGAUCUAAUCGCCUUAAAAUUGUUGGAAAUCAAUCCAGAGAAACCAAAUUGUUUGUUAUAAUCAGAACAGCAAUGUAAAGAAGAUGAUAGCAACUUUAUAAUAUUCUUCAUUUUACAAAUCUUGGAGAAGAAGAAAAUAAGAUAAAACAUAAAAUUGAAGGUGAGGUAUGGAUAUCCGAAUCUCCUUAAGGCGAUUAAUUCCUGCCAAUGGUGCUCUGUAGAUUCACGAACUAUGCCUCCCAAGAUAUAAUACAUCAAACCUGUUUGGAUUAGCACUAUGCAAACAAGGCUCAGUCGAACCGUUCAAUUGAACCAGCGUACCCAGAAAAAUCAAAAGAGUAGAAAAUGAUACCAAAGCUCUUUAAGAAUCGAAUUGGGAAAACCAAAAAACCCAAAAACUCUAUUGAAGCUUUAUGCUCCCAUCUAUUUAUAGAGAUUUUUAGUUCAUGUAAAGAAGAGAUACAUGAAUUAAAUAGACGAAUGUAUUCACGAAAUUCAUGAAUCAAGAGAUACGUGAAUCCAAGAGAUUCAUGAAUCCAGAGACACGUGAAUUUAAGAGAUUCGUGAACUCAAUAAAUACAUGAAUCUAGGAAAUUCAUAAAUUCAAUAGAUACGUGAACAUAAAAGUUUAGGAAAUUUAUGAAUUCAAUAGAUAUGUGAACAGAAAAGACGUAUCUUAAUUUAUUGGCUUUCGUUGAUCCAUUAACCAUUUAUGACAUCUACAACCAAGCUCCAACGCGACGACGUGCCAAGAACCCGGCGAUCGACUUUGCCCAACGAAUGUUUAAUCUUGAAAGACUCAACGCCAUAUCUUUUCUUUUUCUUUUUUGGUUUCUUUUCGUUGGGCAAAUUUUUCUUCUAUUCUCUAGAAUGGAUAUUGAAAGAACGAUGUGAUUCUUUUUCCAAAUAUACUAAUCUUCUAACUCAUCACUUCCCGUAAGUCAAUUUUCAACCAUCAAAGAAUAAUAGGCUUGGGCCAAUUUAUUUUCUCCGUGGGCUUAGUCCAACUUGUCAAAUUAAAAAUGAGAACCAUUUAUUAAAACUCAUCCAUCCUGGCCCAAUGCAAAUACAAUAAUAAAAAAUAAAUGCUCUUAAAAAUAUAUGCUAUGCAACUUAAUUCUCAUAUUUUUGUUUAGUGGUUAAAAAUUAAUCCUUAAUUUUUUAUGCGAUAAAUGAAUGAUUGGAUUGCUAAAAUUUAUAUAUUAACAUCACUCUUGCAUCUAUGCCUUUGGUGAAUUUCAUGAAGGAGAUAAUUUCGAGUAGGAUUUCUACAUUAUCAUUUUUAUCGGUAGUUUAUACAAAUCAUCGAUAGUGCAUUAAUUGUAAUAUUUUCCUACCUUAAAAAAAAUCUUCGCGUUGUUGAAGAAGAUGGAUUGACGAGAAAUAUCUCUGUUGGCAAUAGAAAAUGUUUAGGCAUAAUUAGUUAUGAUGAUACAAACAUUUUCAACUGACUAAUAUUUCUGCUCGUUAAUAAUGAUCUUUUAUUUUUUAGGAAAAUAUUUAUCAAAUUAUGCAACUUGUCACAUAGUGCAAUCGGCUUGAUCUAAUGCAGUGAGCCUAUGCAACACUUCCUAGACAAAAAAAAAUUCUGCAAUUGGUCGCAUAAUGCAAUUGACUUAAUCUGAUCAAGUGAGCCACAACAUUUGCUAGGAAAAAAAAAAAAAAAACUCAUGGUUGGGUUCAUAGUAGUGUAAUGAACCCAUUCUCCCACAUUUCUUUAGAAUAAUAGUUUGAGAAUGCCUAGUUUGGUUGGGUUUUCCCAAGGGGCUUUGAGCCCUCAAAGCCCCUUGGGGAAAUUUUUUUGUGUUUGGCAAGUGUUUUUGAAUACUCAUUUGCCAAAUGUGGGCAUUCUCAAUGCUGAAAGCCAAAUGCUGGGAAGUGGUGCUUUGGGCAUUAGGCAUUUUGGAAAUGCAACGUGUCACUGUUCAUCGUCUCUCCCCCUUCAUCUUCUUCUCUACCCUUUUCAAGUGCUCGAGCGAACUCCUCCAAAUAUUUCAAUUGCGACUCCACGUUACCAAAUAUCUCCCGCAUGGCCCAUGCGUUCGCCCUCACUUCCUCUCCCUCUGGCUCUACCAUGACCCACUUUAUCGUCUCGGCGACCGAGUCACUCGUGAACGACCCAUCCCGGCUGUCCCUUGGCACUUCCGACCCAACCCGCCUCUCGUCCAUUAGCCUCGCCAUCAGCCCUUGGUCGGAGCUCCCCCCAGAAAAUAGGAUCAGUGCCCGGCCUUGCCCGAGUGCCUCUAUGACCGAGCUCCACCCGCAGUGCGUCA
rnacentral:lncRNA from 1 species